CUAUGAUGUGAUUGAUAUAUUUCGCUUAAAAUUGUUGUAAUACAGCAGUAUUAAACGUAUUUUUAUUUCAUAUCAUGUAGUUCUUCGACCCUAAUGAUCCACAGGAAGGAGGUUGAUAUUUCAACAUCACCAACAUCCCACCAUGUGACCCAGAUAGUCAAGAUGAUGAGCUGGACAGUGUACUUCCACCAAUAGAAUUACACCAGCCAACUGAUUGUAAUUGUUUUAUUUAUCCAAUAAAUCCUGUUUGCCCUGACGGACAUUCAUACACACCGAAUGAUGGAAGAAGCGCCCAGUGGUAGCAGUGUUGAUGGUGAAACUGAAGGAGGGGCAGUGAAUGUAGAGAAUGAAAUGGAGGAAAUUCAGCACUAUCACAACACUAUAUAUA